GACGAACGCUGGCGGCGUGCUUAACACAUGCAAGUCGAACGGAAAGGCCCUGCUUUUGUGGGGUGCUCGAGUGGCGAACGGGUGAGUAACACGUGAGUAACCUGCCCUUGACUUUGGGAUAACUUCAGGAAACUGGGGCUAAUACCGGAUAGGAGCUCCUGCUGCAUGGUGGGGGUUGGAAAGUUUCGGCGGUUGGGGAUGGACUCGCGGCUUAUCAGCUUGUUGGUGGGGUAGUGGCUUACCAAGGCUUUGACGGGUAGCCGGCCUGAGAGGGUGACCGGAUAAAUUGGGACUGCGAUAAGGCCCAGACUCCUACGGGAGGCAGCAGUGGGGAGUAUUGCACCAUGGGCGGAAGACUGAUGCAGCAACGCCGCGUGCGGGAUGACGGCCUUCGGGUUGUAAACCGCUUUCGCCUGUGACGAAGCGUGAGUGACGGUAAUGGGUAAAGAAGCACCGGCUAACUACGUG
rnacentral:rRNA from 1 species